rnacentral:rRNA from 2 species
ACGAACUCUGGUAUUGAUUGGUGCUUGCAUCAUGAUUUACAUUUGAGUGAGUGGCGAACUGGUGAGUAACACGUGGGAAACCUGCCCAGAAGNGGGGGAUAACACCUGGAAACAGAUGCUAAUACCGCAUAACAACUUGGACCGCAUGGUCCGAGCUUGAAAGAUGGCUUYGGCUAUCACUUUUGGAUGGUCCCGCGGCGUAUUAGCUAGAUGGUGGGGUAACGGCUCACCAUGGCAAUGAUACGUAGCCGACCUGAGAGGGUAAUCGGCCACAUUGGGACUGAGACACGGCCCAAACUCCUACGGGAGGCAGCAGUAGGGAAUCUUCCACAAUGGACGAAAGUCUGAUGGAGCAACGCCGCGUGAGUGAAGAAGGGUUUCGGCUCGUAAAACUCUGUUGUUAAAGAAGAACAUAUCUGAGAGUAACUGUUCAGGUAUUGACGGUAUUUAACCAGAAAGCCACGGCUAACUACGUGCCAGCAGCCGCGGUAAUACGUAGGUGGCAAGCGUUGUCCGGAUUUAUUGGGCGUAAAGCGAGCGCAGGCGGUUUUUUAAGUCUGAUGUGAAAGCCUUCGGCUCAACCGAAGAAGUGCAUCGGAAACUGGNAAACUUGAGUGCAGAAGAGGACAGUGGAACUCCAUGUGUAGC